GUUUGUGAGGUGUGCUUUUCCAAAUGAUUGAACUUAUGAUUUUCUCCAGGUUUAUGAUCCAACUGGAGCCAAAUGUAGAGAGCAGAUCAUCACAGAGACCCAAAAUACCUUAUGCACAGGUCACUGAAAUGAAAUAUGAAGACUUGGAUGGUUGAAACACAUUCUCUUCUCGUUAAUGACUUUGAGCCCUGAGGCCUCAAACAGGAGCCUGCAGACCUUCGGAUUGAUCCCCUCCUGUCUCCUUCAGAACAUUUUAACCACACCGAAGAAAGAAAAUUACAUGGCUUUCGGCAACAUGGUG